rnacentral:rRNA from 1 species
CACGUAGGGUGCGAGCGUUUGUCCGGAAUUAUUGGGCGUAAAGAGCUCGUAGGCGGUGUGUCGCGUCGGCCGUGAAAACCUGCAGCUUAACUGUGGGCUUGCGGUCGAUACGGGCAUCACUGGAGUUCGGCAGGGGAGACUGGAAUUCCUGGUGUAGCGGUGAAAUGCGCAGAUAUCAGGAGGAACACCGGUGGCGAAGGCGGAUCUCUGGGCCAUUACUGACGCUGAGGAGCGAAAGCGUGGGGAGCGAACAGG